rnacentral:tRNA from 1 species
GGGGAUGUGGUGAAAUGGUAGACACUACAGACUUAAAAUCUGUUGAUUUUUAUAGAUCGUGAGGGUUCGACUCCCUCCGUCCCCA